AAGAGAUGGCAAUGUCAAGUAAGAUACUUACCAACUAUUCUUAGGUUGAUCUCAACCACUGAACUACUUGAUCCAACACCCUCAUUUUUACUUAGUUCAGAGUGUUUCAGAGAUGCGUGUGCACAUUUAUGAAUAUACGUACAUGCAAUACCUCGGAUAGAAUAGCACGAAAAAGGAGUUGGUUUUUCACUCUUUAAUCAAAUGUGCCAGUGAACUGCGAGGCUCAACCAUCUUUAUUAAUGCAUCCAUAUAUCUUAUAUUUUUGUGGGACACAGCCAUCUAUCUCCUGCAUGUGUUUUUGUUCUUCCUUUGAUUCCAAGUUUCCAUCUAUACCAUUCCCACCAACCUAUAAAUACAUGCAUGGAAAGGCCCUCACGUACAUGACAAAAGGAUAGCACCCUAGUGCGAACUGCAUGCUUGGAAUUUCCCCUUGUAGAUGAGU
rnacentral:lncRNA from 1 species